GAUGAACGCUGGCAGCGUGCCUAAUACAUGCAAGUCGAGCGAACAGACGAGGAGCUUGCUCCUCUGACGUUAGCGGCGGACGGGUGAGUAACACGUGGAUAACCUACCUAUAAGACUGGGAUAACUUCGGGAAACCGGAGCUAAUACCGGAUAAUAUAUUGAACCGCAUGGUUCAAUAGUGAAAGACGGUUUUGCUGUCACUUAUAGAUGGAUCCGCGCCGCAUUAGCUAGUUGGUAAGGCAACGGCUUACCAAGGCAACGAUGCGUAGCCGACCUGAGAGGGUGAUCGGCCACACUGGAACUGAGACACGGUCCAGACUCCUACGGGAGGCAGCAGUAGGGAAUCUUCCGCAAUGGGCGAAAGCCUGACGGAGCAACGCCGCGUGAGUGAUGAAGGUCUUCGGAUCGUAAAACUCUGUUAUUAGGGAAGAACAAAUGUGUAAGUAACUAUGCACGUCUUGACGGUACCUAAUCAGAAAGCCACGGCUAACUACGUG
rnacentral:rRNA from 1 species